rnacentral:rRNA from 1 species
AUUGAACGCUGGCGACAGGCUUAACACAUGCAAGUCGAGCGGAGAUGAGGUGCUUGCACCUUAUCUUAGCGGCGGACGGGUGAGUAAUGCUUAGGAAUCUGCCUAUUAGUGGGGGACAACAUUCCGAAAGGAAUGCUAAUACCGCAUACGUCCUACGGGAGAAAGCAGGGGAUCUUCGGACCUUGCGCUAAUAGAUGAGCCUAAGUCGGAUUAGCUAGUUGGUGGGGUAAAGGCCUACCAAGGCGACGAUCGGUAGCGGGUCUGAGAGGGUGAGCCGCCACACUGGGACUGAGACACGGCCCAGACUCCUACGGGAGGCAGCAGUGGGGAAUAUUGGACAAUGGGGGGAACCCUGAUCCAGCCAUGCCGCGUGUGUGAAGAAGGCCUUAUGGUUGUAAAGCACUUUAAGCGAGGAGGAGGCUACUGAGACUAAUACUCUUGGAUAGUGGACGUUACUCGCAGAAUAAGCACCGGCUAACUCUGUGCCAGCCGCCGCCGUAAAAC